GAUGAACGCUGGCGGCGUGCUUAACACAUGCAAGUCGAGCGAGUGAGUUCUUCGGAACGAUCUAGCGGCGGACGGGUGAGUAACACGUGGGCAACCUGCCUCAUAGAGGGGAAUAGCCUCCCGCAAGGGAGAUUAAUACCGCAUAACAUCGUUGAAGGGCACCCUUCGAUGAUCACAGGAGCAAUCCGCUAUGAGACGGGCCCGCGGCACAUUAGCCAGUUGGGGAGGUAACGGCUAACAAAGGCGACGACGCGUAGCCGGCCUGAGGGGGUGAUCGGCCACAGUGGGACUGAGACACGGCCCAGACUACUACGGGAGGCAGCAGUGGGGAAUAUUGCACAAUGGGGGAAACCCUGAUGCAGCAAGGCCGCGUGAGUGAUGACGGCCUUCGGGUUGUAAAGCUCUGUCUUUGGGGACGAUAAUGACGGUACCCAAGGAGGAAGUCACGGCUAACUACGUGCCAGCCGCCGCCGUAAGAC
rnacentral:rRNA from 1 species